rnacentral:lncRNA from 12 species
UUAAAAGGUACUCCUUCUCAUGGUGAUAAGAAGAAAAAGUCUUUAGUGACAAGUAACCAAGUUAUUCUAUUCACUUGUUUGUACCACAAUUUUAACAUUUACUGCACUUUAUGUACCUACAGCGGCUAAUGAAUCAGAAGUCUCACACAUUCACAGGAAAUAACUUAAACCACAUGAAAAAGUAAGAUGGAUAUACAGUGACACCUAACCUGAAAACCCAGAAUUAAUUUUUGUAACUCAAAGUAAAGACUGAACAGUGUAAAACAUGGUAAAAGAUAAUAAAGCAUUCUGUAAGCCCAUGGUUCAAAUUUAAAAAGCUUUUCUGUAAUGUGUAUAGGUCCAAUUACAGAGCCUGUUUGAGAAAGCAGAAGAGAAAAUAAAACAAGGUGAAAAGAUACUUCAAGAACAUCAGAAAGCUUGUCGCAGCAUCAUAGUAAGUUUAAACCUCUAUGCAUCCCCUAUUUAAUCUAAAUAAAAGUAAAUAUCCUAACCUGAGAUAUAAGGACUACAGGUUCUCAUAAAUGAACACAACAUGCACGCAUUACAUAUUGUGUGUGUGUGUGUGUGUGUGUGUGUGUGUGUGUGUGUGUGUGUGUGUGUUUCAGGAGGACUAUUCUGUGAGUGAUGUCUCCCAGGUGUUACAGAUGGGUUCAGCCCUGCAGGCUCAGGUGGGCAGACUGGUGUCAGCCGUGAUAAAAAUCACGGAGCUGGAGAGACAGCAGGUCAUGGAGAGGGUGCAGGAAGAGUGCAGCAGAGAAAGAGAAGAUCUGAACCAAACUGAGAGCAUCCACCACUUAUUUGGCUCCCUGCUGGAUGAGAGCGACCCCUUCCUGCUCAUCUGGGUAUUCCAAACAGAGGGUUCACAGUAAGUCUUUAGAUAAACCGUGAUUGUUUUAGUGAGUGUCAUAGCAAAAUCUUGUUAUUUGUGAGUGCAGUGGUAUGUAUCUUUUACUGUAUUAGUUGCUCUAUUCUUCUUUGUAGGAUGAUGGCAGAUCUCAACACACCUCUGUUCACACCACCUUAGCCCAGCAUGGAUAAGAAAUGUGUUUUAGAGAAUGUGGAAAAUAAAUACAGAGAAUUCAUAGCUGAGACCCUGCACUGCCUAAUUAAGCUCAAGAGAGAUCUCUGUAAGUAGGCAUAUUAAUAUUAAUACAGUCCAUGAUGGGCCCCGAUCCCACAAUUAGAUUUUUUUAAGUAAUAAAAAUUCUUAAUUCUCAGCUAAUCUAAGCAUGAACUGAAUCAAUAUUUUCAAUUUUUUGUCAUUUGCCUUGUUUAAUAGUGCCAUCUAGUGGCUACAUUUCUAAUGGCUGUUUCUCUUUGUUAUUUAGUAAGCAGCCUAUUAACCUUGGACAAAAACUCAGCCUAUCCUCUCCCAAACAUCUCUGAAGACUUACGGACAGUGAUGAGGGUCAAAAAGUUUUGACCACUGGUCUCAGGUGGUCUCCUGUCAGAUAUUUUCUUCAGGAACCCAUUACUGGGAGCUGGAGGUGGAGGGAUUCUGGGAUAUAGCAGUGAACUACAGCUAUAUCCCUAUACAGCAAUGGUAGGAAAUCAAAAGAGGGCACAGCCUUUGGCUGCAACAAGAUAGAUUGUUAACCUAAUACACAAACUUUUUUAAUACCAAAUAUGAUGAUCUCUCUGCAAACGACUUCUUAAAAUAUAAAUGCACCCAUAUAUUUUCAUGUAUAAAGACUCAUUUUUACUGUGAAAAACAGAAUAUAAAUGUAUAAAAUAUAAUCAGAAAAAUGUUUACUUCCUGUUAAAUGGAUGUGGUGUCUUUUUUGUGUUUGUG